GAGCAUUGGGAGCGCCAUUUUUGUUGGAAGACCCUGCAAACCAGUUCCUACGUCUCAAAAGACAUGUAAAUUUGCAGGAUUACUGGGACCCAGAUCACAGUUCAGAUGUGCUCGUGAAACAUGGAUUGCUUUGAAAACAACAGCACAGUAUUAUUUGGAUAUGAAUACCUUCACCUUUGACAUGUCUACUGCCCAGUAAAUAUGUUUUCCUGGUUAAAGCAGGAGGAUGAAGAUGGCAGAGGUUGGAAUGGCAUUGUGCCAAAACCAUGGGUUUUAGAGAUCUGAGGGUAUAUCCAUGCUGUUUACUACAUUAUUUAUUAUGUCUGUCUCAAAGUUGUUGAAAACAGUAGUUAUGAAAACCCAUGUAGGAAACUGGAAUAAGACAUUCUCAAUAAAUGGUAGUUCUCAAAAAAAGAACUAAAAAAAAAAAA
rnacentral:lncRNA from 1 species